rnacentral:tRNA from 1 species
ACGUGAGUGGCUCAGUUGGUUAAGCAUCUGACUUCGGCUCAGGUCAUGAUCUCGUGGUUCGUGGGUUCGAGCCCUGCCUCAGGUU